ACCUGUGGCUAGGGGUGAAAGGCCAAUCAAGGCCGGCAAUAGCUGGUUCUCCGCGAAAUCUAUUGAGGUAGAGCGUCAUGUGGACGCCGCCGGGGGUAGAGCACUGGAUGGGCUAGGGGGGCGCGAGCCUUACCAAACCUAACCAAACUCCGAAUACCGGUGAGCGAUGCAUGGCAGGCAGCCCCUGGGUGCUAAGAUCCAGGGACGAGAGGGGAAGAUCCCAGACCGCCAGCUAAGGUCCCCAAGUCGUGGCUAAGUGGGAAAGGAUGUGAGACGACCCAGACAACCAGGAGGUUGGCUUAGAAGCAGCCAUCCUUUAAAGAAAGCGUAAUAGCUCACUGGUCGAGUUGUCUUGCGCCGAAAAUGUAACGGGGCUCAAGCCACGCACCGAAGCUGCGGGUGGCGGUUCGUCUCGGCGAACCGUCGCGGUAGCGGAGCGUUCCGUAGGCCUGUGAAGGUGAUCCGUCAGGGUCGCUGGAGGUAUCGGAAGCGAGAAUGCUGACAUGAGUAGCGACAAACAGGGCGAGAAACCCUGUCGCCGUAAGUCCAAGGGUUCCUGCGCAAGGUUAAUCCGCGCAGGGUAAGCCGGCCCCUAAGGCGAGGGCGAAAGCCGUAGUCGAUGGGAACCAGGUCAAUAUUCCUGGGCCUCUCGGGAGUUGACGGAGGCGUAAGGUCGUCUGCGGUUAUUGGAUUCCGCGGGCGGCUGAAGCCUUCCAGGAAAUAGCCCCGAGGUAUAGACCGUACCCGAAACCGACACAGGUGGACUGGUAGAAGAUACCAAGGCGCUUGAGAGAACGGUGUUGAAGGAACUAGGCAAAUUGCCCGCGUAACUUCGGAAGAAGCGGGACCCUUUCCUGGGCAACCAGGGAAGGGUGGCACAGAAAUGGGGGUGGCGACUGUUUACUAAAAACACAGGACUCUGCGAAGGCGCGAGCCGACGUAUAGGGUCUGACGCCUGCCCGGUGCCGGAAGGUUAAGAGGAGAGCUGCAAGGCUUGAAUCGAAGCCCCGGUAAACGGCGGCCGUAACUAUAACGGUCCUAAGGUAGCGAAAUUCCUUGUCGGGUAAGUUCCGACCUGCACGAAUGGCGUAACGACUUCCCCACUGUCUCCAACACCGACUCAGCGAAAUUGAAUUCUCCGUGAAGAUGCGGAGUACCCGCGGUCAGACGGAAAGACCCUAUGAACCUUUACUACAGCUUUGCAGUGGCAUUAGGGGAUGGAUGUGUAGCAUAGGCGGGAGCCUUUGAAGUUCGGGCGUCAGCUCGGAUGGAGGCACCAGUGAAAUACCGCUCUUUUGUUCUCUGAUGUCUAACCUGGUCCUGUGAACCCAGGACGGGGACCCUGCAUGGUGGGUAGUUUGACUGGGGCGGUCGCCUCCCAAAACGUAACGGAGGCGCGCGAUGGUAGGCUCAGGCUGGUCGGAAAUCAGCCCUGGCGUGCAAUGGCAUAAGCCUGCCUGACUGCGAGACCGACAGGUCGAGCAGAAACGAAAGUUGGCCAUAGUGAUCCGGUGGUCCCGUGUGGAAGGGCCAUCGCUCAACGGAUAAAAGGUACUCUAGGGAUAACAGGCUGAUGACGCCCAAGAGUCCAUAUCGACGGCGUCGUUUGGCACCUCGAUGUCGGCUCAUCACAUCCUGGGGCUGGAGCAGGUCCCAAGGGUUCGGCUGUUCGCCGAUUAAAGUGGUACGUGAGCUGGGUUUAGAACGUCGUGAGACAGUUCGGUCCCUAUCUGCCGUGGGUGUUUGGAGACUUGCGAGGAUCUGUCCCUAGUACGAGAGGACCGGGAUGGACGCACCUCUGGUGUACCGGUUGUCGCGCCAGCGGCAUCGCCGGGUAGCUAUGUGCGGACGGGAUAACCGCUGAAUGCAUCUAAGCGGGAAACCCACCUUCAAACGAGGUCUCCCUGAAGAGCCGUGGUAGACCACCACGUCGAUAGGUCGGAUGUGAAAGCGCGGCAACGCGUUCAGCUUACCGAUCCUAAUAGCUCGAUCGGCUUGAUACU
rnacentral:rRNA from 1 species